rnacentral:rRNA from 1 species
UACAGAGGGUGCGAGCGUUGUUCGGAAUUACUGGGCGUAAAGCGCGCGCAGGCGGCUUCGCGCGUCCGACGUGAAAGCCCCCGGCUUAACCGGGGAGGGUCGUUGGGUACGGCGGAGCUUGAGGGCGGGAGAGGGUGGUGGAAUUCCCGGUGUAGUGGUGAAAUGCGUAGAGAUCGGGAGGAACACCUGUGGCGAAGGCGGCCACCUGGGCCGACCCUGACGCUGAGGCGCGAAGGCGUGGGGAGCGAACGGG